GCUGCUUACUCAUGGAAUGUUGUAAGCAGCAUGACCUAGAGUAGUAGCAGCUAAUCCUUUAAUCUAUCUUUUAAGUUGGGAAUUUCUUGCAAAGAUGAGAUAGUUAACUUAUAAGUUGCUGCUUGUAUAUCGCAAGAAAUACAUUGAGCCACUUCAGAUGAUUCAUUUCAUGCUGCCAAGUUUCUUCAGUUUAUUAGGCAUCAAUUAUGGCUUUUGGAAGCAGCUUGGUGGUGGGCAUUUGAGCCUAUUUUAGCUUGGCAUUGUUAAAGGUAAACUUUAGUUUGUCACUAUGCUAGUUUAUGCUUGGGUGUUAUGGACAUCUACAUUAACAAAUUCAUUGCAAGGUGGUAUCUGCAAUAUGGGUAUCAAAAUGAAUUGUUUCCUAUGAGACAUUCAGUGCUUGAUUCCAACCUGAGGAAGCUUGAUGCAUCAUCCCCUCAAGAGGGAUUUCUCUAGCAAAAAUAUUUCGUAUUCCCACACGGCAGUAGCAUUUAAAUGGUCAUUAAUUGGCAAAAUAUGCUUAAUGAUAUAAUAAUUAUUACAGGAAA